AAAAAAUUUUUCCAGCCUUUCUUGUCUCGUAACUUCAUCUCAGUCAUGCAUUGUGUAAUGUGCUUAAAUGUUCACAUUUCAUUAGCAGAAUUUUGUUGCAUCUUCAAGCACCUUUUUUUUUUCGGCAGUUUUUCCUGUAUCUUUUGAUUUUGAGGCAUUUUUGUUUGAUUUUAGGUGGCACGAUAGUGGCAGCUGUUGAUCUCAUUAAGGAAUGUGGGGUUGAGAACAUACAAACAAGAGUGUUGCUUAUGCAGUGUUAAUGAGCAAGUGCAAGUGGAAAGCUAUUUCUUUUCUCUAUCUUUGAAGUUUGAUUAGCAAUCUGCUGAAUGAAAGCUGCCCUGUAAGUUGUAACAGAUAUCUGCAGUGGCUGCUCCUCCAGCCCUUCAAAAGCUCAGCAAGAAGUUUCCUGGGCUUCACGUUUACACUGGAAUAUCAUUGAUCCUACAGUCAAUCACAAAGGAUUUAUGGUUCCUGGACUUGGAGAAGUUGGAGAUCGUAGUUUUGGCACAUGAUGUCUAAAUUUUUUUAUCAUCAUUAUUAUUAUUUUGGAGGGUAGCAGAGGAAGAAUGUUGAUUGAUGUAAACCUCUACCCUAUCCAUGAAAGUAAGGAUUUGCAAUUUGGAUGUGUUGAGCUAGAGUUUUGCAAUGUUCAGAUUGUUUUUUUCAUAGAAA